rnacentral:rRNA from 1 species
ACUCCUACGGGAGGCAGCAGUGGGGAAUAUUGGACAAUGGGCGAGAGCCUGAUCCAGCCAUGCCGCGUGUGUGAAGAAGGUCUUCGGAUUGUAAAGCACUUUAAGUUGGGAGGAAGGGCAGUAAGUUAAUACCUUGCUGUUUUGACGUUACCGACAGAAUAAGCACCGGCUAACUCUGUGCCAGCAGCCGCGGUAAUACAGAGGGUGCAAGCGUUAAUCGGAAUUACUGGGCGUAAAGCGCGCGUAGGUGGUUUGUUAAGUUGGAUGUGAAAGCCCCCGGGCUCAACCUGGGGAACUGCAUCCAAAACUGGCAAGCUAGAGUACGGUAGAGGUGUGGAAUUUCCUGUGUAGCGGUGAAAUGCGUAGAUAUAGGAAGGAACACCAGUGGCGAAGGCGACACCUGGACUGAUACUGACACUGAGGUGCGAAAGCGUGGGAGCAAACAGGAUUAGAUACCCCUGGUAGGAUAGCG